rnacentral:rRNA from 1 species
GACGUAGGGCGCAAGCGUUGUCCGGAUUUAUUGGGCGUAAAGAGCUCGUAGGCGGCUUGUUGCGUCGUCCGUGAAAACCCGCAGCUCAACUGCGGGCUUGCGGACGAUACGGGCAGGCUGGAGUUCGGUAGGGGAGACUGGAAUUCCUGGUGUAGCGGUGAAAUGCGCAGAUAUCGGGAGGAACACCGGUGGCGAAGGCGGUUCUCUGGGCCUGUACUGACGCUGAGGAGCGAAAGCGUGGGGAGCGAACAGG